CAGUAGACGCUGAAUAAGAGCUUGCUCUUAUGGAUGAGUUGCGAACGGGUCAGUAACACGUGGGGAACCUACCUUCUAGCGGGGGACAACACAUAGAAAUGUGUGCUAAUACCGCAUAAUAGUAUUUGAUGCAUAUCAGAUACUUGAAAGGCGCAAUUGCGUCACUAGAAGAUGGCCCCGCGGUGCAUUAGCUAGUUGGUGAGGUAACGGCUCACCAAGGCAAUGAUGCAUAGCCGACCUGAGAGGGUGAUCGGCCACACUGGGACUGAGACACGGCCCAGACUCCUACGGGAGGCAGCAGUAGGGAAUCUUCGGCAAUGGACGCAAGUCUGACCGAGCAACGCCGCGUGAGUGAAGAAGGUUUUCGGAUCGUAAAACUCUGUUGUAAGAGAAGAACGUUGAUGAGAGUGGAAAGUUCAUCAAGUGACGGUAUCUUACCAGAAAGCCACGGCUAACUACGUGCCAGCAGCCGCGGUAAUACGUAGGUGGCAAGCGUUGUCCGGAUUUAUUGGGCGUAAAGCGAGCGCAGGCGGUUGAUUAAGUCUGAUGUGAAAGCCCCCGGCUCAACCGGGGAGGGUCAUUGGAAACUGGUCAACUUGAGUGCAGAAGAGGAGAGUGGAAUUCCAUGUGUAGCGGUGAAAUGCGUAGAUAUAUGGAGGAACACCAGUGGCGAAGGCGGCUCUCUGGUCUGUAACUGACGCUGAGGCUCGAAAGCGUGGGGAGCGAACAGGAUUAGAUACCCUGGUAGUCCACGCCGUAAACGAUGAGUGCUAAGUGUUGGAGGGUUUCCGCCCUUCAGUGCUGCAGCUAACGCAUUAAGCACUCCGCCUGGGGAGUACGACCGCAAGGUUGAAACUC
rnacentral:rRNA from 1 species